ensembl:lncRNA
AAUGGCCUGCCCUCCCCCGCCCCUCCGUUCCCAUCUCAGAGAGCCCUGGGCCUGUCGCCUCUCUGGCAAGCUGUUUACAAGCAGAAUGUAAUGUGGGCACCAGUAUAUAUUUCUGAACAAUGUGUGAAAAGAGAAGAGCAGAAAGUGAAGUUCGAGAGUAGAUGUGCAGACCAUCUGCUACCGGCCCCAGCCCAGAUGAUACAGUUAGAAUCUACCCACAGCAUCCUCUCCCGCCUUCAGACAGUUCCAGGAACAAGGGUGAGUCAGUCGCCCAGCUGAACUUCGUCUCGCUAGAGACGGGGAGACGGGCCCGAAUCGGGGCCAGCAGAGGGGGCCGCUCUCACCCCUGGGGCAGGUGCCCUGGGCUGCUCCUCAGAGCCAGGAAGGCGACCCCCGCCCCUUGCAGCGUGCCACCCACAGGAGAGGCAGACAGAGGCCUGGGAAUGCCCACGUCGGCUCUUCUCAACCCAGCCUCUCUUUCCCUGGGAGUCGGAUACCCGGUUCAGGAGUUCAAGUGCAGAGCUAGAGCUUGUCCAAAAAUAUCCCCGAGGAGCCAGUGGCCAGAGCGUCACCCUGCUCUGGCUGUCUGUGGAUGGACCCCUGGGUCUGCUUUGGGGUGCAAAGAUGUUUGGUCCCCUCUCACUGGGCCUCUUGGCCUGGCGUCCCCCCCGGGCUGUGGGAGGAUGUUACUGGACGCUAACUGCAGGCCCCCACUCUCAGGUCUGCUAGCCUCCCCGUCUCUCUCUUCCACACUUCCAGCACCUACAGGCUCUCCCUGUGAGUGGAGGAUAUUGAACGUGGUGCCCAGCAUGGAGACUGAAGUCAGACCUUGAAUUAGGGCUCUGUCCUUCAUAAGCUCACGACCCAGGGCAAGGUGGGCUAAUUCCUCGAGCCUCAGUUUACCCAUC